UACGUAGGGUGCGAGCGUUGUCCGGAAUUACUGGGCGUAAAGAGCUCGUAGGUGGUUUGUCGCGUUGUUCGUGAAAACCGGGGGCUUAACUCUCGGCGUGCGGGCGAGUACGGGCAGACUGGAGUACUGCAGGGGGAGACUGGAAUUCCUGGUGUAGCGGUGGAAUGCGCAGAUAUCAGGAGGAACACCGGUGGCGAAGGCGGGUCUCUGGGCCAUAACUGACGCUGAGAAGCGAAAGCAUGGGGGAGCGAACAGG
rnacentral:rRNA from 1 species